rnacentral:rRNA from 1 species
AGAAUCAACGCUGGCGGCGUGCCUAACACAUGCAAGUCGCACGAGAAAGGGGCUUCGGCUCUGAGUAAAGUGGCGCACGGGUGAGUAACACGUGAAUAAUCUACCUCCGAGUGGGGAAUAACUGGGAGAAAUCUUAGCUAAUACCGCAUAACACUUACGAGUCAAAGCAGCAAUGCGCUUGGAGAGGAGUUCGCGGCCGAUUAGUUAGUUGGCGGGGUAAUGGCCCACCAAGACGAUGAUCGGUA